rnacentral:rRNA from 1 species
GACGAACGCUGGCGGCGUGCUUAACACAUGCAAGUCGAACGGAAAGGCCCUGCUUGCAGGGUACUCGAGUGGCGAACGGGUGAGUAACACGUGGGUGAUCUGCCCUGCACUUCGGGAUAAGCCUGGGAAACUGGGUCUAAUACCGGAUAGUAGCCACUUUUACUGUGAUGGUUGGAAAGUUUUUUUCGGUGUAGGAUGAGCUCGCGGCCUAUCAGCUUGUUGGUGGGGUAAUGGCCUACCAAGGCGGCGACGGGUAGCCGGCCUGAGAGGGUGGACGGCCACAUUGGGACUGAGAUACGGCCCAGACUCCUACGGGAGGCAGCAGUGGGGAAUAUUGCACAAUGGGCGCAAGAAUGAUGCAGCGACGCCGCGUGGGGGAUGACGGACUUAGGGUUGUAAACUCCUUUCGAUAGGGACGAAGCUUUUUGUGACGGUACCUAGAUAAGAAGCACCGGCUAGCUACGUG